rnacentral:lncRNA from 1 species
CAGGAUAUUGUCAUUGGAAUUAUGAGUUUAGUGGUUACAGAGUUCUCAAGUACCAAGGCCAAUUUGCAAAAAAAUUAGCUAUAACUAAACUGAAUGUACGUCACAAUAGAUAUCUUACUCAAUUGCCUAGAAUUUAAUAAGCAUCUCCAGCCACAUUCUGUAGAGAAAGGCAGUGAAUGUCAGACUCACCCGUCUCCUUUCAGCUCUUCAAUCAGGACAGCAAAACUUUAG